rnacentral:rRNA from 1 species
GACGAACGCUGGCGGCGUGCUUAACACAUGCAAGUCGAACGAGAGGAGAAGGAAGCUUGCUUCUUUCAAAUCUAGUGGCAAACGGGUGAGUAACACGUAAACAACCUGCCUUCAGGAUGGGGACAACAGACGGAAACGACUGCUAAUACCGAAUACGUUCCUUAGGUCGCAUGACUUUAGGAAGAAAGGGUGGCCUCUACUUGUAAGCUAUCGCCUGAAGAGGGGUUUGCGUCUGAUUAGGUAGUUGGUGAGGUAACGGCCCACCAAGCCGACGAUCAGUAGCCGGUCUGAGAGGAUGAACGGCCACACUGGAACUGAGACACGGUCCAGACUCCUACGGGAGGCAGCAGUGGGGAAUCUUCCGCAAUGGGCGAAAGCCUGACGGAGCAACGCCGCGUGAGUGAUGACGGCCUUCGGGCUGUAAAGCUCUGUGAUCGGGGACGAACGGUCAGCAGACGAAUACUCUGCUGAAGUGACGGUACCCGAAUAGCAAGCCACGGC